UAAUAGCCUGACUGUUGAGGUUUGUGUUGAACUCAUUCAGCACUAGAUGGCAGUGUUGUGAUUUACUGAGAAAUACAUUGAAGACAACGUCGGAGUGAUGACGCUUGGCUGUCAACGUUGAUGGGUGGAUGCAGAGAAGUUGGAAGAUACUGUUUCCUCACUGUGUGGUUUGUCUGACUAAGAACAAGUGUGUUGUAAUACUGUGUGAAAUUGAAUUGUUGUGUUUGGUUAUGGGCCCAGAUUUCGCCAUACCGUUAACGAACUUAUCAGAAUGGCUCAAAACUACUCUUUGGAUGCUAUAAAGCAAUUAAGAAAGUUUGAUGGAACUCAAUUCACUACGUGGAAACACCACAUGGAAAUGUUGUUUACUCUCAAACAAAUGAGACAGUUCAUUCAAGGAGAAGACAACGAAACUCAAGAAGUAUUUGCUGGUGAAGGUGAUCUUCGUGUAGUCACCAAUCAGGAAUUGAUCAAUCAAUGGAAGACAACUGAUUGAACUAACUACGACAUGUGGACUCGGUUGGAAACCCAAUAUCUUCAUGCAGACAACAAACAUCUCUUACACAGAGACUUCAUGAAUCUGAGACCAGUCGACAACCAAGAUUUCAUGAUUCACAUCACUGAAUUGGAAUCCAAAGCCGCUGAACUCAAUGAUCUUGGAGUGAUGGUGACGCAACACCACCUCAUCACUACCAUUUUGUGUAGCCUUCCAGAACGUUUUGCAAAUCUGACGUCCAUUUGGGACAAUCUCCCUGACGCUGAUAGAACAAUGGAAGCACUGCGUGCUCGCAUUGUUGGGGAAGAAAGAAGGUUCAACAACAGUCAAGGACAAUCAAAUGCUCGGUCAUUGAUUUUGAAUUCAGACAAUGGACCCCCUGACAAUUCCAUUGAGAGUUCUGCUCUGUUUGGCAACGAUUCACGUAGAAGAGGACACUUUCGUGGUGGAAGAGGCCAGUCAUGAGGGCACAUCAGUAGCGUGAUCAAUCGAGAUCUUGUCUCUUGCUCAUUCUGCGGGAAAGACGGCCAUCUUGGAUUCGAAUGUCGAACUCGUAUUGCCAAUGAACACGAGAAAAUCAAGUUCAGCUCCUUUCACUACAAACGGCCCAAAGAUGAUCGGGAUACAACUAAUUCAUUCGGGAAGGAAGUCGAUUUUUCCCUCAUCUCUUCAUGUUGCUUGACAGCUAAGAAUUCGAAGGACAUUUUUCUUGAUUCUGGUGCAACUAGGCACAUGAGUGGUGAUGAAUCCAUAUUAAGUGAUCUACGCAUCAUCGCUGACAAUAGCGGGCCUGUGAAUCGAAUUGGUGGUACUGUCCUUUACGCCCGUGGAAUUGGAACAAUGCGACUUGUCCGACACGUUGGUGAUUCGUCUACAUUUGGCGAAGUUACAGAAGGUCUGUUUGUUUCUGGACUGGGCGUGAAUCUCAUCUCUAUUUGGUUGCUUAACCAAGAGUGGAUUUACAGUUUCUUUCUCUGGCCUACAAGCUAUCAUCAAACGAAACAAGACGAUCAUUCCAACAGCAUCCCGGUCUGGGGAGACUCUAUAUCGUGCUGCUGCUACUCUUGCUCCUCUCACUGACGUAUGCCUUGCAGCAUCUCCUGCUACCGUCGCUACUAUGCACCACAUUCCUUACUGCCAACUCGUGGGGAGUAACAUGUACGCGGCUCUCAAAGCUCGACUCGAAGUUCGACCUGACGUCAUCUUCAUGGCGAGUCAUCUUGCUCAGCACCUUCAUAAUUCUACCAUAAUCCACUGGAAAGCUGCUAAACGUAUUCUUCAAUACCUCGGCACAACACGCUACCAUGGUCUCGAGUUCGGCAGUAAGAGCCAUGACAACUACAUCGUUGUUGCGCAUUCGGAAGCAGACUACGCUGGGGAUCCGGAUUCAAAACAGUCCGCAAUUGGAUAUAUUCUCGUUCUGAACGGAGGGGCAAUCAGCUACAAUCUGCAGUUGGUGUUCUCCACGUCAACCCAUCGUCACCACAUCUAUCAUGCAAUCGGUUUAUUUUGCCGCUAGUGAUUGCUCUAGAGAAUUUGUGUACGUGGGGACUUAACGUCAAUUGGCAGACGCGCUAACUAAAGCUAGUGAAUCAAUCUUCAAUCAUUUCUGCGUGUUUUUAUAUUGGUGGUGAAUUUAUCUUAGUUCUGAAUGAGGGAGAGUGUUGAGGUUUGUGUUGAACUCAUUCAGCACUAGAUGGCAGUGUUGUGAUUUACUGAGAAAUACAUUGAAGACAACGUCGGAGUGAUGACGCUUGGCUGUCAACGUUGAUGGGUGGAUGCAGAGAAGUUGGAAGAUACUGUUUCCUCACUGUGUGGUUUGUCUGACUAAGAACAAGUGUGUUGUAAUACUGUGUGAAAUUGAAUUGUUGUGUUUGGUAAGUCUCAUUGAUCUUGUCUCCUACGUUAAUCAGGAGACAAAAUACACACUCUACUUGAGUAUCAAACUGACAAAACUCUUCUCUGAUAUUUGUGUCUUAACACUGACAAUUAAUGUCUAUUAAACAAUACAUAAUACAUAAUUUGUCUAGGCUUAUUACCAUGGGUCCAGAAUGAAUUUGACAGGCCUCAAUUCAUAAAUUCUUUCGCCAACCUGUAGAAGAGAAAAAAGGGAAAAUGUAAACUAAAAAACAGGUUCUAUGAAAGUCAACAACAAUCACGCAAGAUUGAAACGCGUGAUUGAACACGAUUUUACCUUCUCG